CCCGCAGAAUUUAAGUAUAUUAGUCAGUGGAGGAAAAGAAACUAACAAGGAUUUCCUCAGUAACCGCGAGUGAACAGCGAAGAGCCCAGCGCCGAAUCCCCACCCCCGCGGUGGGGCGCGGGCCAUGUGGCGUACGGAAGACCCACUCCUGGGUGCAGCUCUUGGUAGGGGCCCAAGUCCUUCAGAUCGAGGCACAGCCGGUGGACAGUGUGAGGCCGGUAGCGGCCCCCGGCGCGCGGGUCUUCUCGGAGUCGGGUUGCUUGGGAAUGCAGCCCAAAGAGGGUGGUAAAUUCCAUCUAAGGCUAAAUACCGGCACGAGACCGAUAGUCAACAAAUACUGUAAGGGAAAGUAGAAAAGAACUUUGAAGAGAGGGUUCAAGAGGGCUUGAAACCGUUGAGAGGUUCGGACAACUCUUAGAGGUGGAUCACUCGGCUCGUGGGUCGAUAUUAUUAAUAUUUGUUCUAGGGUGAUCGUUUAGAGUCUACAUCCCUAAUCAUAUCCCCAUCGAACCAUGCGAUCAAGUAGUUGUUUUUCUUCUGUGUUUCUGCUCCCACAGUUCUUCCUCUGGAUGUGGAUAGCAGCCCUUCUCAUAAGUCCCUCAGAAUUGUCUUGGAUCAUUGCAUUGCUGUUAGUAGAGAAGUCUAUUACAUUCAAUUGUGCCACAGUGUAGAGGAUGAUUCUUAAAACAGGA
rnacentral:ncRNA from 1 species